UACAUGGGGUGCAAACGUUGCUCGGAAUUAUUGGGCGUAAAGCGCGCGUAGGCGGUUACUUAAGUCGGAUGUGAAAGCCCUCGGCUUAACUUGAGGAAGUGCACCCGAAACUGAGUAGCUAGAGUACGAAAGAGGGUCGCGGAAUUCCCGGUGUAGAGGUGAAAUUCGUAGAUAUCGGGAGGAACACCGGUGGCGAAGGCGGCGACCUGGGUCGAGACUGACGCUGAGGCGCGAAAGCGUGGGGAGCAAACAGG
rnacentral:rRNA from 1 species